GAGGGGGAUAACUACUGGAAACGGUAGCUAAUACCGCAUAACGUCGCAAGACCAAAGAGGGGGACCUUCGGGCCUCUUGCCAUCGGAUGUGCCCAGAUGGGAUUAGCUAGUAGGUGGGGUAACGGCUCACCUAGGCGACGAUCCCUAGCUGGUCUGAGAGGAUGACCAGCCACACUGGAACUGAGACACGGUCCAGACUCCUACGGGAGGCAGCAGUGGGGAAUAUUGCACAAUGGGCGCAAGCCUGAUGCAGCCAUGCCGCGUGUAUGAAGAAGGCCUUCGGGUUGUAAAG
rnacentral:rRNA from 1 species